UACGGGGGGAGCAAGCGUUGUUCGGAUUUACUGGGCGUAAAGGGCGCGUAGGCGGCGUAACAAGUCACUUGUGAAAUCUCUGGGCUUAACUCGGAGCGGUCAAGUGAUACUGUUGUGCUAGAGUGCGGAAGGGGCUACUGGAAUUCUCGGUGUAGCGGUGAAAUGCGUAGAUAUCGAGAGGAACACCUGCGGCGAAGGCGGGUAGCUGGGCCGACACUGACGCUGAAGCGCGAAAGCUAGGGGAGCGAACGGG
rnacentral:rRNA from 1 species